GAGAGCCGUGUGCGGGAGAACCGCACGCACGGUUCGGAGGGAGGGGCGGGGAAACUCGUCCCUACCCCCUAU
rnacentral:ncRNA from 1 species